rnacentral:lncRNA from 1 species
ACGAAUGUAAUGGAGAAGUGUAAUGGGGAUGGUGAAAGAAAACAUAGUACCUCUGCUGCGAAAAUAAGGACCAAGCAGGAAACUCUUAACUCAUGUGAGAAGAGAGUGAGGUAGCUCACGAUUAGAAUAAAUGUGUUAGCCUUAUUGGGAAGACAAGGUUNUUAUUGGGAAGACAAGGUUUGUGUAUACCAGGUCAUGAAGGCUAUUUUUCAAAAUCUUAUGAGGCUUGGGACACAUACAGCAGCAUGCUUCUAGGGACACUUAAGUAAGCCAUCAAAUAU